rnacentral:rRNA from 1 species
CCUCUGGGCUGUAAACCUCUUUUAUCAAGGAAGAAGAUCUGACGGUACUUGAUGAAUAAGCCACGGCUAAUUCCGUGCCAGCAGCCGCGGUAAUACGGGAGUGGCAAGCGUUAUCCGGAAUUAUUGGGCGUAAAGCGUCCGCAGGCGGCCUUGAAAGUCUGUCGUUAAAGCGUGGAGCUUAACUCCAUUUCGGCGAUGGAAACUACAAGGCUAGAGUGUGGUAGGGGCAGAGGGAAUUCCCGGUGUAGCGGUGAAAUGCGUAGAUAUCGGGAAGAACACCAGUGGCGAAGGCGCUCUGCUGGGCCAUAACUGACGCUCAUGGACGAAAGCCAGGGGAGCGAAAGGGAUUAGAUACCCCUGUAGUCCUGGCCGUAAACGAUGAACACUAGGUGUCGGGGGAAUCGACCCCCUCGGUGUCGUAGCCAACGCGUUAAGUGUUCCGCCUGGGGAGUACGCACGCAAGUGUGAAACUCAAAGGAAUUGACGGGGGCCCGCACAAGCGGUGGAGUAUGUGGUUUAAUUCGAUGCAACGCGAAGAACCUUACCAGGGUUUGACAUCCUGCGAAUCCCUUGGAAACGAGGGAGUGCCUUCGGGAGCGCAGUGACAGGUGGUGCAUGGCUGUCGUCAGCUCGUGUCGUGAGAUGUUGGGUUAAGUCCCGCAACGAGCGCAACCCACGUCUUUAGUUGCCAGCAUUCAGUUGGGCACUCUAGAGAGACCGCCGGUGAUAAACCGGAGGAAGGUGUGGAUGACGUCAAGUCAUCAUGCCCCUUACAUCCUGGGCUACACACGUACUACAAUGCUACGGACAAAGGGCAGCAAACUCGCGAGAGCUAGCAAAUCCCAUAAACCGUGGCUCAGUUCAGAUCGUAGGCUGCAACUCGCCUACGUGAAGGAGGAAUCGCUAGUAAUCGCAGGUCAGCAUACUGCGGUGAAUACGUUCCCGGGCCUUGUACACACCGCCCGUCACACCAUGGAAGUUGGCCACGCCCGAAGUCGUUACUCCAACCCGUAAGGGAGGAGGAUGCCGAAGGUGGGGCUGAUGACUGGGGUGAAGUCGUAACAAGGUAGCCGUACCGGAAGGUGCGGCUG